UGCCUACGGGGGGCAGCAGUAGGGAAUCUUCCACAAUGGACGAAAGUCUGAUGGAGCAACGCCGCGUGAGUGAAGAAGGGUUUCGGCUCGUAAAGCUCUGUUGGUAGUGAAGGAAGGUAGAGGGAGUAACUGGGCUUUAUUUGACGGUAAUUAAUUAGAAAGUCACGGCUAACUAAGUGCCAGCAGCCGCGGUAAUAAGGAGGUGGCAAGCGGUGUCCGGAUUUAUUGGGCGUAAAGCGGGUGCAGGCGGGUUCA
rnacentral:rRNA from 1 species